UACGGAGGGAGCUAGCGUUGUUCGGAAUUACUGGGCGUAAAGCGCGCGUAGGCGGCUAUUCAAGUCAGGGGUGAAAUCCCGGGGCUCAACCGCGGAACUGCCGUGGAUACUGGAUGGCUAGAAUCCUGGAGGGGCGAGUGGAAUUCCGAGUGUAGAGGUGAAAUUCGUAGAUAUUCGGAAGAACACCAGUGGCGAAGGCGACUCGCUGGACAGGUAUUGACGCUGAGGUGCGAAAGCGUGGGGCGCAAACAGG
rnacentral:misc_RNA from 1 species